GAUUUGAAGCUCAAUAUUAAGAAGAAGGAUUUCUAGGAGAAUUUUCUAACUAGAGUUACUUGGUGCUAAGAAAAGUUUGGAAUUUGCACUCAGAGUAAAUGUCUUUCCAUUUUUUUUCUUUCUCUCCAGAACAACUUCCAGUAACCGAAGACACUGAUGAUCAAAUGGUACAUGUGGGCAGUUACAGAUUUUUGCAAAAGGAAGGCUACAUAAAUUUAAGACACCAGAAUGAAGCCUGGCCAUUAGUGGAUGACAAAGAUCACAGGCCCAGAUUCUUACGUUCCUAGAGACCACAUCAGUGAAAACGCACGUGGGAAAGUGCAGAGGACCCUUUUAUAGCUUUAUGGUAUGUAUCCAUUUGACUAUCUAUGUUCAUGUGUG
rnacentral:lncRNA from 1 species